AGUGAGUCGGGCAACCGCGCCGCGUGCGGUGAGGAAAGUCCGGGCUUCAAAAGGCAAGAUGCCAGCUAACGGCUGGGCGGGGUGACCCGACGGAUAGUGCCACAGAAAAGAAAACUCUUACGCACUUCGUGCGUAAGAAAAGCUGAAACGGUGCGGUAAAAGCGCACCAGCAUGCUGGUAACAGUAUGGCUUGGUAAACCCCAUCUGAAGCAAGCGCAAAUAGGAGUGCGAUACGGUCGCCUUUCCGUGCAUUCGGGUUGCGUGCUAGAGCUUCUUGGUAACAGGAAGUCGAGAUAAAUGGUUGCCGAUCACAGAACCCGGCUUAUAGACUCACUCC
rnacentral:RNase_P_RNA from 1 species